AGCAUGAGACUCUUAAUCUCAGGGUCGUGGGUUCGAGCCCCACGCUGGGCGCAGCUUUUGUUAAGCUGGUAAGGGAGUUCAGAUUCUUCCAAGCGGAGCAAGCAUUCACAGAACCCUAGCCACACCCAUCUGCUGAAUCCGCCUGCCAAUGCAGGAGACAAAGAGACGCAGUUUCGAUCCUUGUGUCAGGAAGAUCCUCUGAAUGGCAACCCACUCCAGUGUUCUUGCCGGGAGAGUCCCAUGGACAAAGGGUUGCAUAGUCAGAUACGACUGAGACGACUUAGCACGCACACACAGGUUUCCCAGGUUGUGGUUAUUUGUUCGGGCAGCCACAGCUGAAGGACCACGAAGAGACCCACAGAGGGGUGCCGGGGUCCAGCCUCAGCAGGAUCCAGGGGUACCCUCAGGAUGAACGGCGUCGGCGAGAGAAGACGCGUGAGACCAGCCUCUGUGAAGCCAAGUCUAUCUUUUACUUUUUGACAACAGUUUAUAUACCCUCACUCAGAAUGUAUCCAAGGGGGACCCGCGACGCCCUAGUGGGGUCCUAGCCGUUCCGAGACUGAACAAUUGGGGUCUUACCUUCGGGUCCCUGUUCGUGGCACCACUUGCCGGGGUCCAGCCUCGGUAGGAUCCAGGGGUACCCUCAGGAUGAACGGCGUCGGCGAGAGAAGACGCGUGAGACCAGCCUCUGUGAAGCCAAGUCUAUCUUUUACUUUUUGACUACAGUUUAUAUACCCUCACUCAGAAUGUAUCCAAGGUAUGAGAUGAUUACUCAUGCUUACACAGGGUUAGUUUAACAUUACAUCAGUUUGUCCUUUAGGAAGAACAGGAUGUUUUCUGCAUUCUAUUUCUAUAGUAGGUCUUUGCAAAUUAUCUUCUGGCCUUGGGGCCUAUUGACAUUUUAUGCAAGUCAGGUGACUGUAAACCUAUUUUCCAUUUCUGUGGUGAUCUUAACAGAAAAGUUGCAGUCUCAUAGGGCAACAGUACAGCAUGUCACAACAUAGUAGAAAUAUAACCUUGUCAACACAAAGGUCAAUUCUGCAGAAGUUGUCAGUUGAAUUUAUCUAAGAGGUUUACCCCACACAGACUCUGUGGCUGGCUUCGGUGAGGCAGCCCCUGCCUAGCACUCCUGGCUAAUAAUUAACAACCAUCUCAUUGUUACCACACUAGGGCUAAGCUCUUAUUUUUCUAAAUCUUUAACUAUAUUAACAAUGGUUUCCACUGCAUAACCUUAGCACAUUAAGAGCAAAAACACAGCAAGCAAACGUUGACCCAAUAACCACUUUUAGAAUAAUUUUUCUUGUGUUUUCUAAUAGGGUUUCCUCACCCCCUGAAGGGCUCUAUGCCUAUUAGGGCCUUUGUGUGAUCACGUUCUUUAUGCUGUUUUAUGAUUAGGGUA